AAUGAACGUUGGCGGCAUGGAUUAGGCAUGCAAGUCGAGCGAGAAGUGUAGCAAUACACGGAAAGCGGCGGAAGGGAGAGUAAUACGUGGGAAUCUGCCCUUAGACCUGGGAUAGCAGCGGGAAACUGCUGGUAAUACCAGAUAAUGUCUAUGGACCAAAGGUGUGAUUCCGUCUAGGGAUGAGCCCACGUCCUAUUAGCUGGUUGGUAGGGUAAUGGCCUACCAAGGCGAUGAUGGGUAGCGGGUGUGAGAGCAUGACCCGCCUCACUGGGAGUGAGACACUGCCCAGACACCUACGGGUGGCUGCAGUCGAGAAUCUUCGGCAAUGGGCGCAAGCCUGACCGAGCGAUGCCGCGUGCGGGAUGAAGGCCUUCGGGUUGUAAACCGCUGUCGAGGGGGAGCAACUUCCAUAGAGUUAUCUUUAUGGAUUGAGUGAUCCCUGGAGGAAGGACGGGCUAAGUUCGUGCCAGCCGCCGCAGUAACAC
rnacentral:rRNA from 1 species